UAGGGAAUCUUGGGCAAUGGGCGAAAGCCUGACCCAGCCAUGCCGCGUGUGUGAAGAAGGCUCUAGGGUUGUAAAGCACUUUCAGAAGGGAAGAAAUGUUCGGGGCUAAUACCUCCGAGCUUUGACGUUAUCUUCAGAAGAAGCACCGGCUAACUCCGUGCCAGCAGCCGCGGUAAUACGGAGGGUGCGAACGUUAAUCGGAAUUACUGGGCGUAAAGCGCGCGUAGGCGGUUCGGCAAGUGGGAUGUGAAAGCCCCGGGCUUAACCCGGGAACUGCAUUCCAAACUGCCGGACUAGAGUAUGGUAGAGGGAGGUAGAAUUUCCUGUGUAGCGGUGAAAUGCGUAGAUAUAGGAAGGAAUACCGGUGGCGAAGGCGGCCUCCUGGACCAAUACUGACGCUGAGGUGCGAAAGCGUGGGGAGCAAACAGGAUUAGAUACCCCCGUAGUCC
rnacentral:rRNA from 1 species